UACAUAGGUGUCGAGCGUUAUCCGGAUUUACUGGGCGUAAAGAGUGCGCAGGCGAUUGCACAAGUUGAAAGUUAAAUACUGAGGCUCAACCUCAGCUAGCUUUCAAAACUGUUCAAUUAGACUGUAGGAGAGGUAAGCGGAAUUCCAAGUGUAGCGGUGGAAUGCGUAGAUAUUUGGAGGAACACCAAUGGCGAAGGCAGCUUACUGGACAACAACUGACGCUGAGGCACGAAAGCGUGGGUAGCGAAAGGG
rnacentral:rRNA from 1 species